rnacentral:rRNA from 1 species
AGAGUUUGAUCUUGGCUCAGGACGAACGCUGGCGGCGUGCCUAAUACAUGCAAGUCGAGCGCGGGAAGCAAACUCUGCCCUUCGGGGCGUAAGUUUGUGGAACGAGCGGCGGACGGGUGAGUAACACGUGGGCAACCUGCCUGUAAGACUGGGAUAACCCCGGGAAACCGGGGCUAAUACCGGAUAACACUUUUCAUCACAUGGUGAGAAGUUGAAAGGCGGCACUAGCUGUCACUUACAGAUGGGCCCGCGGCGCAUUAGCUAGUUGGUGGGGUAAUGGCCUACCAAGGCAACGAUGCGUAGCCGACCUGAGAGGGUGAUCGGCCACACUGGGACUGAGACACGGCCCAGACUCCUACGGGAGGCAGCAGUAGGGAAUCUUCCGCAAUGGACGAAAGUCUGACGGAGCAACGCCGCGUGAGUGAUGAAGGUUUUCGGAUCGUAAAACUCUGUUGUUAGGGAAGAACAAGUACCGUUCAAAUAGGGCGGUACCUUGACGGUACCUAACCAGAAAGCCCCGGCUAACUACGUGCCAGCAGCCGCGGUAAUACGUAGGGGGCAAGCGUUGUCCGGAAUUAUUGGGCGUAAAGCGCGCGCAGGCGGUCUUUUAAGUCUGAUGUGAAAGCCCACGGCUUAACCGUGGAGGGUCAUUGGAAACUGGAGGACUUGAGUACAGAAGAGGAGAGUGGAAUUCCACGUGUAGCGGUGAAAUGCGUAGAGAUGUGGAGGAACACCAGUGGCGAAGGCGACUCUCUGGUCUGUAACUGACGCUGAGGCGCGAAAGCGUGGGGAGCGAACAGGAUUAGAUACCCUGGUAGUCCACGCCGUAAACGAUGAGUGCUAGGUGUUAGGGGGUUUCCGCCCCUUAGUGCUGAAGUUAACGCAUUAAGCACUCCGCCUGGGGAGUACGGCCGCAAGGCUGAAACUCAAAAGAAUUGACGGGGGCCCGCACAAGCGGUGGAGCAUGUGGUUUAAUUCGAAGCAACGCGAAGAACCUUACCAGGUCUUGACAUCCUCUGAACACGGUAGAGAUAUCGUUUUCCCUUCGGGGACAGAGUGACAGGUGGUGCAUGGUUGUCGUCAGCUCGUGUCGUGAGAUGUUGGGUUAAGUCCCGCAACGAGCGCAACCCUUGAUCUUAGUUGCCAGCAUUAAGUUGGGCACUCUAAGGUGACUGCCGGUGACAAACCGGAGGAAGGUGGGGAUGACGUCAAAUCAUCAUGCCCCUUAUGACCUGGGCUACACACGUGCUACAAUGGAUGGAACAAAGGGCAGCGAAGCCGCGAGGUGAAGCAAAUCCCAUAAAACCAUUCUCAGUUCGGAUUGUAGGCUGCAACUCGCCUACAUGAAGCCGGAAUCGCUAGUAAUCGCGGAUCAGCAUGCCGCGGUGAAUACGUUCCCGGGCCUUGUACACACCGCCCGUCACACCACGAGAGUUGGCAACACCCGAAGUCGGUGAGGUAACCUUUUGGAGCCAGCCGCCGAAGGUGGGGCCAAUGAUUGGGGUGAAGUCGUAACAAGGUAGCCGUAUCGGAAGGUGCGGCUGGAUCACCU